CGUCAUUACAGUGCUGGCGGGUUGAUGGUACUGCCCAUGGAGCCGCCCACUGCCCUGCCCAAAAGAUUAUCUAAACAGCGCCAUUUUCCCCGGCCGCUCUCUCGCAUUACUCCGGUUAGAACCAUGGCGAAAGUACGAUCUGAAAAAGAGGCAGCGUUUGCUCUGUUGUUGGCUGCACAAACGAGCACAAAACUCCCUCGUCGGAGGAUUUGAGGACUCAAUGGGUGGAUUUUAUUUAUAAUGGGAAUGUACCCGCGGCACUUCCAAAAUAUCUGUACGUAUGUGUGUACCAUUUCACUUCGGACUGUUUUAUCAACGAGGGACAGUUCAACGCUGGAUUUGCUAGAUGUCUGAAGAUAAAGAAUGGAUCCGUACCAACUAUCCGUGAUCCUGCUACAAACGUGGCACCUGUAAGUACAGAACGUUUUAUUUUGACUUACUGUUUAGCGUAAAUUCCCCCGGUGCCUCUGCACGGCCACCACGCUUCGAUAAACACACCGAAUCCGCGCCGGUUUACCGGAUCCUUCCGUAUUUUAGCCGCUCGCUUCGGUGGCCCCUCCAGAGCAGCAUGUAGCUUUAGCAUUUACCCGUGCGGCGACGCGCCUCUUUUGGCUCAAAUACGGGACGUCCCGGCUACGCGUGACCCACCUGGCAGCUUUGAAUAAUACACAGGAUAUGUCGACUUGGUCGCUUGAAGUCGCGUUUCGUCUGAACGCGGCUGAGAGUUUUUUCUCUGGGUCAGACUCUGGCUCAAACUGGUAGGGUUGUACGAGCGAUCUUCUUGCAGCUAUGACCGAGCCAGUGUAAACAUUAGCACAUGGCUAUCGGAGCACAGCCACAGCCCCUUCCAGAGAGAUGGGUGUAAAGUGGACGUGGCUUAGGUGCAGCUCAUAUCAUCAAAGAGACAUCGCCCAAAACGGAGGAUUCUGAGCGGAGCUGUUUUUAGCUGAAAAAAAGAGCACUAAAAUAAUUGAUCCAAAUCGAAUUUUGACCGAAGGACGUCACAGACAUGCUUUUAACACACCAGGGGACUAUUUUAAAUUGUGUGAAAUUGGCAUGCCAUGGGACUUUUAACUAAUAGGAAUCAAUGUAGCUCUUUCCUUUAUAAAUUAAAGAACACCAUGAAGUCAAAGCACGUCAUAACACAAAUAUUGUACCAUAUGUGUUGUUUCACAGAUACUGACUUUUGCAUCCAGGACAGGAAUCUUCUCACCUAUCCUAAAGAUGAGUUGAUCCUAUCUAUAUCACUUUUAUGGAGGUUUUCCUUGAUAACUAUACAGAUGAUCAACAAAAUGCAGAAUAGGAACUCAUGAGUACUUGUGGAUGAUAUUCCAAAGCUCGAUUCCAUCAUCUCUGUAGUAGUAGUUGGGUAUUGCCUCCAGCCCACGCUCAGCAAUGUCGUCUGGUAUGCAGAGGGAGCUGUAUGUUAUAGAGGACGUUGCCCUCUGAAGGAUUGUGAGCAAACCCUCUCCACCAGAUGCAGAAUACUAGAAAAUAAUCAAUAUGAGAACUUGUUGGAGACACUUCUAGGAAAAAAACAAUGUUUGAAGGAUGCACCACUAAGCUUGCUUGUUUCUUACGUUUGUGAAAGCUCCUUUCUCAGAAAUCAGCACAAUUCGAGCCAUGACGUUGAUCUGCAGAGUGUAGCGAGUGUGAGGGCUGAGGAGCUGGGGGAAAAAUGAACUCUGUUAUGGUAAUAUUAAAACUUCUUUAAAUCACGUUUAAAAUUUGAUGCACAUAUACUAUUCAGCAAUGUAAAAUUCUUAUCUAGAUACAUACUGACUAGGCCUGUCACGAUAACAAAUUUUGCUGGACGAUAAUUGUGCUACAAAUUAUUGCCGAUAAACGAUAUAAUUGACACCGUUUUUUAAAUUAUCGAAAAUGAUAAUAUAUGGCAUAAUAAUGCGAGUACACCAUGCCAAAAGUGAUAAACUUCAAUUUCCGCUGUCUGUCAGCGCGCACCAUUUUGCGGUGUUUUGUUUAUAUUUGCUUUGCUUGCCAAACGCUUCAGUAAACGGUACCUGUCGGGACGAUGGCUCCGCAGCACCUCCGGCAGUACUUUUUUUGCUCAGUUGGGAAAAAUGGAGGGGAUGAUUGUGCUUGAGGUGCGCAUGCAUGUUCGUCGUAUUCCCCUUCUUUGUCACCACAAUUUUGGAACAAAUACGACAUAUCGGCUCGUCCGUAUUUGUGGGCUCACCUCUUUCAUUUGGUUUAAAGCCGAAAUAUUCGCACACUUGGGCUGUUGCGUUCGGUUUAGACACCAAAGCUGUCGUGUUCAUUCUGUUUGCUUGCUUUUCACUCACGACGCUCACUUGUCACCCCCCGUGACAAAGAUACUGAAUGACUGACAGGAGGGUUCACUAACUCCGUUCAUUCCGCUAUAGAGCCAACGCCCCCAGGUGCCGAGAACAAUGCGCAGAGUGAGACCUCUUCUCUCAUCCAGCGUGUUUGGUAGCGAGAGAAGAGGGAAAACAAAUGCACGUUAAUUAUCGAGGCUGGCAAAUGACCAACCUCGUUUUUAUUUACCGAGCGAUAAGGCGAUUUAUUGAUUAUCGCGACAGGCCUAAUACUGACAUAUCGGUUUUCUGCAAACCAAAGUUCCCCUGAAGGGUUUCUUGCUGGUUGGGAAAAAAAUUAAAAUGUGCUAACCUAGACUUGCAACCUCGACAUGUCAGACUAGACUAGAUGACUAAAAGGUCAUGCCUUGAGUGGCCAACCAUGAGUUUGCUUCCAUAGCCUUUCCUGUAUGUCACCCCCUGCUCUCCUUUCUUGGUUUCUCCACUGUCCUCUUCAAAAAAGGCAAAAAGUCUGAAAAUAAAUCUUAAAAAUCUACAAGGUUUCUUACGGCAGAGUAAAAACUUUGCAAUACAGUUACCUUGUACAGGGGAUGCACCAUGGGCAUGUUGCGCAGCAGAGACACAGCAAAAACUUCAGCCAGCAGAUGAGUGCGCAGCAGAUGAACAUUGAGUUGAUGCUGACUGAAACUUGCGCUUCUCACAAAAAUCUUGGCCAACAACCAGUCGUACUCUGAAUCAGUAGGAAAAAAGAUGGGGUUGUCCUCUCCUGGAGUCUGCUUCAGCUGCAGGAGAAAGAAAGGGAAAUGUGGUUUGUUCUUGUGGGACAUGCAAUAACUUGACUUCACAUUUGUUUUCAGUGUACCCAAAAAUGGCGCAUAAGCAGAUGAUUAUGAACGUUUAAAUUUUGAUUGUAGCCAGCAUCGUGUCAGCUGUUCACCUGCCUGUUGAAGCCUUGUGGGAUACUGUUGAAAACAUUUACUUGGAAAAAAAAAAAAUACAGCAUGCUAAAACAAGAGUCUGUGGGUGGACAAACCUGACUAGUUUGGCGGUUGGUUAUUCACAGUCUUACUCUUGGCUCACAAACCACUGGUGCAGACAAAACUAAAGAUAACCAACCCCUGGAAGUUUCAGCUUUGACAGAAAUAAAAAUUUAACUGCCUCAGAAAGACAAUAGCUGCUAUCUUCUGAAUUAAUAUCUAACCCCCAAAGUGAUUACUACCAAAAUCAAGCCCUAAAUUUUAUCAUUAGUUAUAUCUCAGUUUCUCUCACCUGGAUUGCAAUCGGCAUCAACUUGUCAUCAGGUGUUUUCUGGAGCAGGACAAGGGGAGCCGUCAGGUACUGCUGCUUCUUAUUGACAGUGUUUGCUUUGACUCCAUCCAAGAGCUUGUAGUCACACAGGUAUAUGUUGCCAUUCUGUUUGAAGUUUGAGUGCGAAUUAGCAUUGAUUUAUAUACAAUACAAAUGCAACAAAAAUCAGUUUGAAAUGUUAACACAAGGAGUGUACAUUUGAGGAAAUUAAUUUGUUUUCGAGACAAUUCAAAGUGAGGAAAUCACCUUCAAUUCCUCUUCCAGGGUGUGAUCACCAUGAAUGGAAACCAUGCUGUCAGUGACAGGAAAGUUCUCGGGAAGGACUGAACAACGUCGGAUCAACAUGGGGUCGACACCAUUUAGAAACUGGUAGCCGAAAAACUCAUCCUCCUUCCAGUGUUGCUGGACAUAGGCUUGGA
rnacentral:lncRNA from 1 species